GUUCAAUGCCAUUGGGUCUGAUGAUUUUAUAAUACUACACCAACUAUAAAUAAAAGUCUGUCUGUCUGUUCUGCAUACGUUUUAUGUUGUUUUUUCAAGUUUAGAUUGUCUCAACUGAUUUCCGUUAAGUUUGAUAUUUAUAAAACAAAGAUCCUUGUUGAAAAAAAAACAUUGAUAAAAAAACGCAGAAAAACAACUGAC
rnacentral:lncRNA from 1 species